GUGGGGAAUAUUGGACAAUGGGCGAAAGCCUGAUCCAGCAAUGCCGCGUGAGUGAUGAAGGCCUUAGGGUUGUAAAGCUCUUUUACCAGGGAUGAUAAUGACAGUACCUGGAGAAUAAGCUCCGGCUAACUCCGUGCCAGCAGCCGCGGUAAUACGGAGGGAGCUAGCGUUGUUCGGAAUUACUGGGCGUAAAGCGCGCGUAGGCGGUUACUCAAGUCAGAGGUGAAAGCCCGGGGCUCAACCCCGGAACUGCCUUUGAAACUAGGUGACUAGAAUCUUGGAGAGGUCAGUGGAAUUCCGAGUGUAGAGGUGAAAUUCGUAGAUAUUCGGAAGAACACCAGUGGCGAAGGCGACUGACUGGACAAGUAUUGACGCUGAGGUGCGAAAGCGUGGGGAGCAAACAGGAUUAGAUACCCGUGUAGUCC
rnacentral:rRNA from 1 species